CGGCUUAGUCAGCAUAGGACCCACGUGGAUCCCACAUGUCAAGGUGUCCACGUUAGCACCUUUCCUUUUUCCUCUAACUCUCUCCCUUCCUCCUUCCCUCUCCUCUGUUGGAGUGGUGGUGCGCCAUGAAGGUGUUGUUAACGCGCGCGGCAAGGUGCUGGUGGAAUCCAACUCCUAUCACCCGCUGCGCCACCGCAUCGCUGACCGGAUCGUCCGCGCCGCCUCCAUCAACAAGCACGCCGCCCACGCCGACGUAUCCUCGUCUUCAACUCCUAGUCCUACCUCUGGUGGCAGCAACCCGCCAUGAAAAUAAAUCCUGUGGGGGUCGUUUGACAAUCCGGCGGCGGACGCACCUCCGCUCCGACGAGUGGGAGGACGGCGGUGGAAAUCACAAGUGCUACGGCGAGCGAGACGGAGGAGCGGGACGGACAUGGCGCACAUAUAUACCCAAAUUAAAUUUACUGAAUCACUGAUUUACAUAACGCCGCCGGCUGCUGCUCCAGCCGCAUCUCGCCAAACGAAGACCGCCGGCAACCAUCUCCUCGAAGCCACAAGCCACCGGAACACCGCUGUCACUGUCAAGUGUGAACUCGAUCGAUCUACUCCGCCUCCGGCCAAGCCUCACCGGCAUUCCCAUCGACGCCAAGAUUAGAUGUCGCCUCCGUUGGAUUCGCAGGACCAAGGUGAAGACCGUCCACCCGUUCGUUGCCGCCAAAGAGCGUCGAACGCCGCCGUCGCCUUGGACCCGACCUCGUCGCUGUUUGAAGCUCCCUUUGCCGUCCGUCGUCGUCGAGCUGCCCCUCGGAUGUGACAGUGGGGUUGGGACCGAACGGCGAGCUCCGAUACCCGUCGGGAGCGACGGGAGGUGGGCGAGUUCCAGUGCUACGACACAAGUACAUGCUGCAGCAGCUGAGGCGGCACGCGGCGGAGGCUGGUGACCCGCUGUGGGGGUUGUCGGGGCCACGCGACUCGCCGGACGCGUGCGGCUUCUUCAACGAUGACGGCAUCCUCCCCACCCGCCGGCCCUGCGCAAAGAAGCGAGAGAAAUAGGAGGAAUGGGAAAGGGAUGACGUGGCAUCCUGACAUAUGGGUCCCACGCUGACUCAACCGUCACAUCAGAUCAAAACCAUCGAAGGACCUAAAGUCAAAGGUUUUGUGAGUUGAGAGAUGUCAUAUAUCUAGUUUUGCGGUUGGGAGACAAUUUUCUAACUCGAUAACAAGUUGAGAGACCUUCGGUGUACUUUUUCCUAAUACUACGGGGUUGUUUAGUUAAAAAAACAUCACAUCUAAUUUUUGACA